ACAGAGGGUGCAAGCGUUAAUCGGAUUUACUGGGCGUAAAGCGUGUGUAGGUGGUGAUUUAAGUCGGAUGUGAAAGCCCCGGGCUCAACCUGGGAACUGCAUUCGAUACUGGAUCACUAGAGUACGGUAGAGGGAGGCGGAACUCCGGGUGUAGCGGUGAAAUGCGUAGAUAUCCGGAAGAACACCGAUGGCGAAGGCAACCUCCUGGGCCUGUACUGACACUGAGACACGAAAGCGUGGGGAGCAAACAGG
rnacentral:rRNA from 1 species